AAUGAUUUUAUUCUUUGAAUAAAACGAAGUGCGUUAAAUAAAUUAUUCGUGUAACGAAUCGAAAUUUUCCUCAAACUUUUCUCAUGCCGCCUUUUAUAAGAUUCGGUACAUUACUCAUAAUCGUCACGUACUUUGUGUAACUGUAUAAAUUUCAAACUGGACAAUGCGGAACAGAAGGUGGCCAUGCCGUCGACGAAUAAUUACGUAAGCGACGCUUUCGUCAGAAUUUUUCUUCUUUGAAUAAGUGCGUGAAGAUACUUGAAAAUUUUAUAACGAAAACGAAAUGAAGUACAAAGUAAAUCAUUUCAUUAAAAAAAACUAAACAUACUUGAGUGCAGAGAAGGACAGUCGCGCUAUAUGCGCUAUAUGAAUCGACAAUGAAUUAUUCUCACUUUUCUUUGGCUGGCAUUCUCUCGCUGAUCCAUUGACACAUAAAGAGCGUUGUGGAUUCGUUGAUUUUCGUCCGCUCGUACGUCAUACUUUCGUAUGCACCAUGCUCGAGUGUUCGAAUAAUUGAGUUCGCGUGCUAAUGCAUGCGGAACUAACUGUCGUACAAUAAAUUAUAUUUACAAAUGUA